rfam:Triticum urartu cultivar G1812 contig987414, whole genome shotgun sequence.
CAACUACUCCCUCCGUCCGAAAAUAUUUGUCAUCAAAAUAAAUAAAAUAAGAUAUAUCUAGAUGUAUUUUAGUUUUAAAUGCAUCUCUUUUUAGUUUUAAAUACAUCUCUUUUUAUCCAUUUUAAUGACAAGUAUUUUCAGACGGAGAGAAUAUAUA